rnacentral:lncRNA from 1 species
GAAGCAAACUUGUUCCAGAAUCUCUUAAAAAAGACAAAGAUGGGAAAUCUCCUCUGGAUGGUGCUAUGGUUGUAGCAGCAAGUAGUGUUCAAGGAUUUUCAACUGUCUGGCAAGGAUUGGAAUGUGCAGCUAAAUGCAUCGUUAACAAUGUUUCAGCAGAAACUGUACAAACUGUCAGAUACAAAUUCAUGGAAUUUAAAUAAAAACCAGAUACGGAUAUAAUGCAGGAGAAGCUACCCACCAUGCGGUGGAUUCUGCGGUCAAUGUUGGCGUAACUGCCUACAAUAUUAACAACAUUGGUAUCAAAGCAAUGGUGAAGAAAACUGCAACACAAACAGGACACACUCUCCUUGAGGACUAUCAGAUAGUUGAUAAUUCUCAGAGGGAAAAUC